rnacentral:lncRNA from 1 species
UCAUGAUUCGUAAUUGCAUAAGUUAUGACUUCUCAAUUAAAUAUGUAUGAUUGGAUCAUGAACACUUCAAGGGAAUCCUAAACUCUUAGCAUGAAUCAGCUUCUUGAAGCAAGUAAGGGCAAGUCAACUCAGAAUUCAGUUUCGUGAUAGAAGUUUAAAUGUUUCAGAUUAGUCAUAUACUUUCUUAGAAGACACAUCAUGUCAGCGUCAUUCUAUACCUUUGAGCUUCAACAUUUUCAAUCCAUUAUUUGGGGAUGAAUGAUCCCAAGGGGGAGAUAAUGUAACACCCCGUAAAAGUCAUGCAUGGAUUAGCCUUUAAUA